AACGAACGCUGGCGGCAUGCCUAACACAUGCAAGUCGAACGAGACCUUCGGGUCUAGUGGCGCACGGGUGCGUAACGCGUGGGAACCUGCCCUUAGGUUCGGAAUAACUCCCCGAAAGGGGUGCUAAUACCGGGUAAUGUCUUCGGACCAAAGAUUUAUCGCCUUUGGAUGGACCCGCGUUGGAUUAGCUAGUUGGUAGGGUAAAAGCCUACCAAGGCGACGAUCCAUAGCUGGUCUGAGAGGAUGAUCAGCCACACUGGGACUGAGACACGGCCCAGACUCCUACGGGAGGCAGCAGUGGGGAAUAUUGGACAAUGGGCGAAAGCCUGAUCCAGCAAUGCCGCGUGAGUGAUGAAGGCCUUAGGGUUGUAAAGCUCUUUUACCCGGGAUGAUAAUGACAGUACCGGGAGAAUAAGCUCCGGCUAACUCCGUG
rnacentral:rRNA from 1 species